UGUCCAAAUUUCCACAUUCAUCAGUCAUUAUACCAAAUUUCUCAGUUUCACCUUGUUUUUCAGCAGUCUGAAAGGUGUUUGAAAAGGCAUCCAGAAUAACCAGAAUGGUUUUGGUAUCUUUUGCAGUUAAGAGGUUCAUCAAUAGUUCUAUUAUGCCACAAUGAAUGAGGUAUACAAUUUUUUAACUGUUCUACCAUUUGUAUAGUUGGUCACAGCCUAUAUAGCUUCUUUUUGUGUCUUAAAGUCUGUUUUAGAAUAGCAACAGGGAAUGGGACUAAUCCAUGAUUCACAACUUUCUGUAUCUGGUCCUGGUGACCAGCUGUGAUGUUUGACAUUGUCCAUGUAGCUUUCUUAUAAAUAUUAGUUUUGGGAUUCAUUAGUAGGCUGGGUGGGACAGCAAGUGCUCCUGCAUCUAUUACAAUCUGAGUCUGUUUAUCUGUCCCAAUGAUAGUAUUUCCUAUGGCUCUUAGUGCAGGAGUCACAACAGGCAAUUCAGUAACUCCUAGAAGCUUCACAAGUUGGGACACAACUCCUGUUUUCAAACCAUUUCAAUCCAUUCAUUUGGACCUCAUCAGUAAGGUUGGAAGACGAGAUCAAUGGCAUAAUGCAAAAGAUAAGAAGUGUGACGGUGGCCGUGACCACCAUAAUUACAGAUGUGGGAAGUUGACUUCCUAAGAUCCCAGACACCAGUGGAGAACAGAGUGGCCUGGAGGCCGAGGCAAUUCCUAGCUAGCUAUCUGAGUCUUGGCCUUCAUUCCAGAGAAUCUGGGAGUCCAGGGAAUCAGCCUGGUCAGCAGAAACUCCACGCAGAUUCAGCAGACCAUUGUAGGGUCCUGGACCCCAGCUUCUGGUCUCAGGAAGGUGAAGGUGAAGAACCAGCACUUGCCCAGUUUUUUUCUGAAGAUUUCAGGAGACAAGGAUGAUAGAGUCUCCCUCAAGAAGCUUCCUCAUGUGAGACUCAGAAGGUUACUUUCUGUUGGGCAAGGGCUUUCCCAGCAGUUAGAAGAUGAUGGCAGUCAAGUGGACAAGGAGGAGACAAGAAGACUAAAAAAAAGUUGUGUACAACAUAUGUUUAUUAAAGUAUCUGGGAUUUAUGUGGAGCUUAAAAGAGGGUGUGGGCAUCAGCAGGAUGUGUACUGCCUUUGAGUUGCCUUUGUUUAGAAUAACAAUGAGAGCAAACAAUUAUUUUGCAAUCAUAUACCAAUUGUAUACCAAGUGCUGUUUUACAUGCAUUAUUUAAUGCUCACAGCAGCCCUACGAGACACUUUACAGAAAAGGAACUAAGGCACAGAGAAUUUAAGGAGGUUACUGAAGGUCACAGAGUUGGCAAGUGGAUUAAACCAGUCUGACUGCAUUUUGCUCACCAAUUACAUCUGCUGUGAGUCAUCCAAGUUGGCCUCACUGCUAGAGAACAUCUUUCUGUAGUAGAGUAUUGAAGGGGUGAAUAAUGGCUUCCGAGAGGGGAUGGUAGAUAAAAUUGAAUAAGAAAGUUAAAAAGAAAGAGUCCAUAAAAAUGAAAGGAAAUCAACAUUUUGGUGGUGACAUAUGACACCAUGGAGAAAGGAGAAUUUCUGCAUCAUUAGAGCUACACAAGUAUGAGAUUCUUCACACAGAGGGUGAAUCUGUGUUUCUCGAGUCACAUGGGGUGGGGGUGAUAGGAAUGCAGAUAAUCCCCCAGGAAAGAGGAGUAUCUUGCAGGUUGGGAGAAGAAGGAAGGCAAUGACAUAGGCAACCAAGUAUGGUUCAGUCAGAGGUGGGAUGCCAUCUGGGAUCAUAAACUUAAAACAUGGCAAAAUAGACUACAAGACUGAAAACACUCAGUUUUGCUGAUUUGCAUACCUUCUUCAAAAAUAUGGAGUUAGCAUCCAUUGUGUGUCAGGACUAGGGAGACAAAAGUAAAUGAGAUAGCAACUUUGCCUUCAAGGAGCUCAAGGUUGAAAGGACAUAAAAGCAAAUAUUGCAGCAGAAGGAAACCUGUGAUGGAUACUAAAAACAGUAAUAGAAAUGUCACAGUUUAGACCUGUAAGAGAGGGUCAGCCCUAUAUGGAGUAGUGUUUUAAGUCUCAGAACAAGUAAUAUUACAAAUGAAGAGAAGCACUAAGUAGAAGUAGGGAAGAAGGGAGAGAUUUUGGGAAGAGAAAAGGAGAAAUGGGGCUUCUAAAUGAUUUUCAGUUUUGGAUACGAAGUUUAAAGUCUUGAGUAGAGAGAGAAUUUUCUUCUUCCCUGUUAGUCUGUUAAAAGACAAGUUCAUAGUCAGUGAAGAAUAGAUUAUGGAUGAUAUUCAAGAGAAGGAUUUGUCUUCCUAACCUACCUAAGAACUCAUGGAUGAUGACCAAGGACACAUUCCAAGGCUGUAUUUGAUUAAAGACCCACAAGCUUGCUAUAGAGCAUUUUAGCCAGAGUAGAUAGAAGAGAGAAACAUAAGCUUAGGAAGUUGGGCACUUGGAAGGAUGAUGUGUAUGAUUUGUGAAGAAAAAGCAUCAUGGUUCACCUGCAGGAGUAUAUGAUAGGGAAUUGGAUGUGGGAUUUUAACUCAGGUUUUGUAAUGAAUAAAUUACGUGACCUUAGAUGACUGACUUCCCCC
rnacentral:lncRNA from 12 species